rnacentral:rRNA from 1 species
CCUACGGGUGGCAGCAGUGGGGGAUAUUGCACAAUGGGGGAAACCCUGAUGCAGCGACGCCGCGUGAGUGAAGAAGUAUUUCGGGUUUGAAAGCUCUAUCAGCAGGGAAGAAAAUGACAGUACCUGACCACGAAUCCCCGGCUAACUACGUUCCAGCAGCAGCGGUAAUACGUAGGGGGCAAGCGUUAUCCGGAUUUAGUGGGUGUAAAGGGAGCGUAGACGGUUAUGUAAGUCUGGAGUGAAAGCCCGGGGCCCAACCCCGGGAAUGCUUUGGAAACUGUGUAACUGGAGUAGAGUAGGGGCAGGCGGAAUUCGUGGUGUAGCGGUGAAAUGCGUAGAUAUCAGGAGGAACACCGGCGGCGAAGGCGGCCUGCUGGACUGAAACUGACGUUGAGGCUCGAAAGCGUGGGGAGCAAACAGGAUUAGAUACCCUGGUAGUC